GACGAACGCUGGCGGCGUGCCUAAUACAUGCAAGUAGAACGCACAGUUUAUACCGUAGCUUGCUACACCAUAGACUGUGAGUUGCGAACGGGUGAGUAACGCGUAGGUAACCUGCCUGGUAGCGGGGGAUAACUAUUGGAAACGAUAGCUAAUACCGCAUAAUAUUAAUUAUUGCAUGAUAAUUAAUUGAAAGGUGCAAUUGCACCACUACCAGAUGGACCUGCGUUGUAUUAGCUAGUAGGUGAGGUAACGGCUCACCUAGGCGACGACACAUAGCCGACCUGAGAGGGUGAUCGGCCACACUGGGACUGAGACACGGCCCAGACUCCUACGGGAGGCAGCAGUAGGGAAUCUUCGGCAAUGGACGAAAGUCUGACCGAGCAACGCCGCGUGAGUGAAGAAGGUUUUCGGAUCGUAAAGCUCUGUUGUAAGAGAAGAACGGGUGUGAGAGUGGAAAGUUCACACUGUGACGGUAUCUUACCAGAAAGGGACGGCUAACUACGUG
rnacentral:rRNA from 1 species